rnacentral:rRNA from 1 species
UGAACCUGCGGAAGGAUCAUUAAUAAUUAUGAAGGCAACUGCUCACACGUUGUAAAAGACAUGGAGUGCAGUUGCUCUAUCAAUUAUAUCCCACCUCUGUGUAUCGAUCUUGUCGUUGCUUCCGUGGACGGAGCUUGCUUCACAUUGCUGUCUCGAACAGUGUUCACGGAAGGUACUUAUCAACUCCGAUUAUUGUUUUUUACUGUCUGAGUGGUGACCACAUAAAACAAGUUAAAACUUUCAACAACGGAUCUCUUGGUUCUCGCAUCGAUGAAGAACGCAGCGAAAUGCGAUAAGUAGUGUGAAUUGCAGAAUUCAGUGAAUCAUCGAAUCUUUGAACGCACAUUGCGCCUUCUGGUAUUCCGGGAGGCAUGCCUGUUCGAGCGUCAUCAAACACGUCCUCAAGCAUCUUUGCUUGGUCUUGGAGGAAGAUGGCUUUGCCAUCUCUUCUGGAAUCAAUCAGCAGAAAAUCUAGAAUUCACAAGUGUGAUAAAUUUUGUUCACUUAUGGGUUGUAAGAACAGUCUUGCUGUAAACCUCCACUCUUUAAGUUUGACCUCGGAUCAGGUAGGGAUACCCGCUGAACUUAAGCAUAUCAAUAAGCGGAGGAAAAGAAACCAACAGGGAUUGCCUUAGUAACUGCGAGUGAAGCGGCAAAAGCUCAAAUUUGAAAUCUGGUACCUUUGGGUGCCCGAGUUGUAAUUUGGAGAGGCAACUUCGGAGGCGGCGUUGGCCCAAGUUCCUUGGAACAGGGCGUCAUAGAGGGUGAGAAUCCCGUGCUUGGCUGACUGUCCUCCUCCAUGUGAAGUGUCUUCGACGAGUCGAGUUGUUUGGGAAUGCAGCUCAAAAUGGGUGGUAAACUCCAUCUAAGGCUAAAUAUUGGCGAGAGACCGAUAGCGCACAAGUAGAGUGAUCGAAAGAUGAAAAGCACUUUGAAAAGAGAGUUAAAAAGUACGUGAAAUUGUUGAAAGGGAAGCGCUUGAGACCAGACUCGGUCAUUGGUGAUCAGCAGUUGCUUUUGCGCUGUGCACUUGCCUUUUACUGGGCCAGCAUCAGUUGUGAUGGUGGGAUAAAGACUUAGGGAAUGUGGCUCCUUUCGAGGAGUGUUAUAGCCCUGGGUGUAAUGCCGCCUAUCACGACUGAGGACCGCGCUUCGGCUAGGAUGCUGGCAUAAUGGUCUUCAGCGACCCGUCUUGAAACACGGACCAAGGAGUCUAACAUCUAUGCGAGUGUUCGGGUGUAAAACCCCUACGCGUAAUGAAAGUGAACGGAGGUGGGAACCCGUCAGGGUGCACCAUCGACCGAUCCUGAUGUCUUCGGAUGGAUUUGAGUAGGAGCAUAGCUGUUGGGACCCGAAAGAUGGUGAACUAUGCCUGAAUAGGGUGAAGCCAGAGGAAACUCUGGUGGAGGCUCGCAGCGGUUCUGACGUGCAAAUCGAUCGUCAAAUUUGGGUAUAGGGGCGAAAGACUAAUCG